rnacentral:rRNA from 1 species
UACAGAGGUCCCAAGCGUUGUUCGGAUUCAUUGGGCGUAAAGAGCGUGUAGGCGGCCCGAUAAGUCCGCCGUGAAAGUCCAGGGCUCAACCCCCGGAAUGCCGGUAGAAACUGUCGGGCUGGAGUCCGGAAGAGGCGAGUGGAAUUCCUGGUGUAGCGGUGAAAUGCGCAGAUAUCAGGAAGAACACCCGUGGCGAAGGCGGCUCUCUGGGACGGUACUGACGCUGAGGAGCGAAAGCGUGGGGAGCGAACAGG